UCCCUGGUGGCUCAGGCAGUAAAGAAUUUGCCUGCAAUGCAAAAGACCUGGGUUUGAUCCCCGGGUUGGGAA
rfam:TPA: Bos taurus chromosome 2, whole genome shotgun sequence.